rnacentral:piRNA from 1 species
UAGAAAUGAAAGAAUGAACUGCCAGACGG